CAGGCGUGUUGGUUUUAGGACAAAAAAAAAAAACGAGGAAAAAAAAUGAAAAAACAAAACAAAACACCAACCCUCCCCCCCCCCCCAGCCUCGUGUGUGGGCGCCUGGUUCCUGCCACGGGGGCUGGGGGGCGCCUGUAGGUUGAGCUCAUCCUCCUCAUCCUCAUCUUCCUCCUCCUACUCCUCCUCCUCAGGGCGCUGCUCGUUGUCCUCGCCUCGCCGCCGGAGCCGCCGGCCCCCGGGAGCGGAGCCGCCGGACGAGCGGGGAGCGGAGAGCACCUAGCAAAAUGGAAUCCCAGUCCCCGACUCAAGUCCGACCACAGCAGUGCUACAAAUAAUAAUUAAUAAGCACCUUUUACAAACAUACAUUCCUCUUCUCCUUACAGAUAAAAUCUGAUUUUGUUGAUGUUUAUAUGUGGCUUAACAGGGAAGUCACAAUGGCCACAAGAGAAGAGGCAGCGUUAUUAUUGUUUGGUGAUGCAUGUUAGAGUUUUAACAAUUCCUGCAGCAGUAAUAUAUAUAUAUAUAUUUUUUUUUUCCACAGAUUAACAGGGCGUUUGUUUUUUUUUCCCUGAUGAAAUUCAAUUGAGGAUGUUUUUGUUACAUAUACUAGUGGAGAAAUAUACCCUCAUCUCUGAAUUUUUACAAUCUUGAGUGCUGGGCUUUCAAAUAAUUCCCUUUCUUUUGUGUGAUGUUGUCACCUUACAUUAUCCAUAAGUAAAAAUACAUCUCUUCUAGUCUGUCACUGAAAUUUAAUGUUUUUAAAGAGAUGUUUUCAUUCUGUAAAAAUCGACAUUAGGAAAAAAAGAGUGGAAUUACUUUCCUUCUUCAGAUAUAACAAUUGUUAGAACAAAAAAGAAAAUCUCAGAUUUUUUAAUCUGAUAAUUUGAUCGUUUUAACAUCUAUCAUUACAUAUUGUUUUUGCUGAUGUUAAGUGUCCUGUUAUAUUUUUGUGGCUUUCAAAUUUGAAUAUUCAUACAUGUUCACUAAAAUAAUUUUUAAAAAUAAUAAAAUUUACUAGAUUUUGCUGUUAAUAAAGCUGAAAACUUAGUUAUGGACUGAUCCAAAGACUUUUUAAAAUUUCUCCUAGCUGUGUUGGCAUUUUUCUUUUUUCUUUUUUUUUUUUUCUCCCAGAGAGUGUUUGGCACUAUAAGUAUUCAAAUACAGAUAUAUUCGAGAGAACGCUCUUGAAUUACUGCUUAUGUUUGGGAAAUAAAAAUGUAGUAUCUUUGA